rnacentral:rRNA from 1 species
UACGUAGGGUGCGAGCGUUAAUCGGAAUUACUGGGCGUAAAGCGUGCGUAGGCGGUUCCUCAAGUCCGUUGUGAAAGCCCCGGGCUCAACCUGGGAAUGGCAUUGGUGACUGCACGGCUAGAGUGUGUCAGAGGGGGGUAGAAUUCCACGUGUAGCAGUGAAAUGCGUAGAGAUGUGGAGGAAUACCGAUGGCGAAGGCAGCCCCCUGGGAUAACACUGACGCUCAUGCACGAAAGCGUGGGGAGCAAACAGG